rnacentral:snRNA from 8 species
CGACUCUGGUUUCUCUUCAUUACGCACAAGCCUUUCCCCUUUUACUAAAGACUUCCGGGAGAGAGGAACACUUACGAGUUCAACGU